rnacentral:rRNA from 1 species
AGGGUGAUCGGCCACAUUGGGACUGAGACACGGCCCAAACUCCUACGGGAGGCAGCAGUAGGGAAUCUUCGGCAAUGGACGAAAGUCUGACCGAGCAACGCCGCGUGAGUGAAGAAGGUUUUCGGAUCGUAAAACUCUGUUGUUAGAGAAGAACAAGGAUGAGAGUAACUGUUCAUCCCUUGACGGUAUCUAACCAGAAAGCCACGGCUAACUACGUGCCAGCAGCCGCGGUAAUACGUAGGUGGCAAGCGUUGUCCGGAUUUAUUGGGCGUAAAGCGAGCGCAGGCGGUUUCUUAAGUCUGAUGUGAAAGCCCCCGGCUCAACCGGGGAGGGUCAUUGGAAACUGGGAGACUUGAGUGCAGAAGAGGAGAGUGGAAUUCCAUGUGUAGCGGUGAAAUGCGUAGAUAUAUGGAGGAACACCAGUGGCGAAGGCGGCUCUCUGGUCUGUAACUGACGCUGAGGCUCGAAAGCGUGGGGAGCAAACAGGAUUAGAUACCCUGGUAGUCCACGCCGUAAACGAUGAGUGCUAAGUGUUGGAGGGUUUCCGCCCUUCAGUGCUGCAGCUAACGCAUUAA